rnacentral:rRNA from 1 species
UGAGUAACACGUGGAUAACCUACCUAUAAGACUGGGAUAACUUCGGGAAACCGGAGCUAAUACCGGAUAAUAUUUUGAACCGCAUGGUUCAAAAGUGAAAGACGGUCUUGCUGUCACUUAUAGAUGGAUCCGCGCUGCAUUAGCUAGUUGGUAAGGUAACGACUUACCAAGGCAACGAUGCAUAGCCGACCUGAGAGGGUGAUCGGCCACACUGGAACUGAGACACGGUCCAG